AUACUGUGUGAAAGAAGGGAAGGUUAGCACUCCCCUUAUUAAGGAUGUAGGAAGUCUUGAUUGCCUUUACAACACAUAUAAUUAAUGUGUUGUAUUGUCACUCACUCUAGUAUCUGACCAUGUUCUUUU